rnacentral:rRNA from 1 species
AUUGAACGCUGGCGGCAUGCUUUACACAUGCAAGUCGAACGAGUGGCGAACGGGUGAGUAAUAUAUCGGAACGUACCCAAGCGCGGGGGAUAACGUAGCGAAAGUUACGCUAAUACCGCAUACUCCUGGAGCGGCCGAUAUCUGAUUAGCUAGUUGGUGAGGUAAAGGCUCACCAAGGCGACGAUCAGUAGCUGGUCUGAGAGGACGACCAGCCACACUGGAACUGAGACACGGUCCAGACUCCUACGGGAGGCAGCAGUGGGGAAUUUUGGACAAUGGGCGCAAGCCUGAUCCAGCAAUGCCGCGUGAGUGAAGAAGGCCUUCGGGUUGUAAAGCUCUUUUGUCAGGGAAGCGGUACCUGAAGAAUAAGCACCGGCUAACUACGUGCCAGCAGCCGCGGUAAUAC